CUCUCCCCUUUUGCCGGAGCCGGCGACUGGAAGGGUUUUUGAGAGGAGCGGGCAGCGCCCACUGCGCAGGCGCAGUGUGAAAAGUGCUUUAAGAGCAUCUUAGAGAGUUUUCAUAUCCUAAGCCAAGCAAAUAUACCUCUGCUGGGCAAAGCAGAAGGUGUAGCACAUGGUGUCUGUCAAGGUCAUCUUCCUUUCUCUGCGUACACAGUGAGUAAGAACAUUUAUGCAUCACUUGGUCAAGCCAGCAUUAAAAUACUCAAGGGAAGCAUCACACUGAUGUCACAUUACGCCAGCAGAGGCAAGCUGGGAUGAACUCCAGAAAGCAAAGAUCUAAGGAUGGACCUUUUACCCCAUAUCAACACUAAUUGGAGCCACUCUUAGAGGAAGGAGAAACACUGUAUGCAACACUAUGCUUUCAACUACCAUGUUUCCCCCAAAAUAAGACCAGGUCUUACAUUAAUUUUUGCUCCAAAAGAUGCAUUAUGGCUGAUGAAAUUUCCGGUUAGGUCUUAUUUGGGGGGGGGGGGAAAUACAGUACUAAACGUCUCAGUCUGUGUGACAAUCUUCACUGGGGCUUAUUUUGGGGGUAGGGCUUAUAUUACGAGCAUCCUGAAAAAUCAUGCUAGGGCUUAUUUUCCGGCUGGGUCUUAUUUUUGGGGAAACAGGGUAUCAAAGUCAACCUAAAAGAAUACCCUGUCAGGCCUGGAAGCCAUAUUACCUUGGUGCCACAUCCUACCAUGGGAAGUUGGGUGGGGGGAUUGCAUGAGUGAAGUAGAAUUACCUUGGUGCCCAUCCUACUAUGGGAAGUUGGGAGGGGGGAUUGCAUGAGUGAAGUAGAAUUAGCCAUAAUAAAAUUUUGCAGAGAAGUUCAAGGCCCUGGUGUCCGACAGGUGUGCUGAGAAGAAUGUGGAGGUUGUCUUCUGUAUUUGAAGGAACUGAUUGGAGCAGUGGUGGACAUGUGGGAGAAGUGGGCA